GUCAGGCUCUUUUGAAAGCUGCAAGUUUUGGUAACGGCACAGGUGUUCUUAAAUUCUCGCCGAUGGUUAUAAGAUGAAUACCGAAAAACUUGCAAAUGGAGAAUGGAAAUCGAAAUGGGUUAGCUGUCUAGUUUAAGCUGAGCUAAUUCAAAAUAAGGGCUGUUAGUUGCACAAAGGGUAGGCAAUGUUUUUCAACAAGCGAAGCUAAGCGGUUGCCUUGGUAAUGUAGCUAUUGCACAUGCUAGCUAGCGAACUCAGCUAGCUAGUUUGAUAGGUAACUAACAAGCCGGUCAAACGUGUAGUGCGCACAUUUUAGUGGCAGACGAUAUUUCAGCCUACACUAUUUUGAAAUAUAAUUUUGGAUUUUAAUUAGUUGCUGUAGCUCACCGGGAUGUUACCGGUAUAUCAAAACACUAACAACAACGUUUCUAAAUCGGAUAUCGUUUCGUUUGUAUUACCAAACAAUUACGAUAUGGCAGCACGGCCCGGUGCAUCUGUGAGGGGAGCACUGGAUGAAAACGCUUAUGCAGUUGAACUUGGGUUUGAUGCACCGCCUGAAAGAAGUUCAAAUCUGGAGAUGCUAAGUGAGGAGCUGGAACGGCAGACGAGAGAGACGCAGAAGUUACAAGAGCAGGUAGAACAUGCAACCAAACGUACCAUGGAGAGGAUGGGUCGUACCCUUGGAGGCGUCACACCCCACGUGCCCAAAACUGCCAAGCUUCACUCCAUGGGUGUCCUGCCGGAGGUCAGUGUUCCAGAAGUGCACGUGUCUGGUCAGGACUUCAGGGUCCAGCCGGACAUGUAUGACCAUGACCUAGGUCUGCUGAAGCACAAUAUGAAACACUCAGGGAAGGAUGUGGCACACGAGUACUCCCAGCAGGUCUCAGAGCUACAGCAACACCUGAAUACGACGCAUGCCCUUCACGAGCAGCAAAAUCUUCACCUUCGUCAAAGCAUAAUGAAGCUGCAGACAAAGCUACAGGAGAGUCAGUUGGAGAUGGAUGCCCUUUUGGAGCAGAGAGUGAAGGAGUCCCAUAGGCAGGCAGACCUGGUGGGAAAACUGCAAGGAACAAUCAGGGAGCUACAGGGCAGUAAGCAGGUUGCGGACCAUAUGCUGCUGGAGGCUGAAAACCAGGUUGAGUUGCUCUGCAGGAAGCAGGAGGCCUUGGACCAGACUCUACAGGAAGUGGGCUCCGCUCUGCUGGACUACGAGAAGCGAGUUGCCAAGAGAACGUAUAUGGACAAGGUUUCUGCCAGCCCAGGCCACCAUUCCCUGGGCAAAAUGGUAGGGACGGUGCUGCAGGACCUUGUGAUGGAGAAUGCAAGUCUGAAGGAGAAACUCCUGCCAAUUGAGGAACAGCUGGGGGUUCUACAGUUGGAAUUCCAAGAAAGAAAUGUAUUCAUGAUGAAGGAGCAAACUGAAAGAAAAGAAGCUGAAAGACAGGCAUCUACGUACCAUAGUCAGAAGACUGAACUAGAAUCAUCUGUUUCCAUCUUGCGCUCUGAGCUUUUGGAGGCUCAGCAGACACAGAGAGAAAAGGUGACAGCUGUGGAAAAGCAACUUUCUCAGGCUGUGUCCAACAUGGAGGAGGCCGAAAAACAGAAGGAACUUUACAGGCAGCAGGUCAAGGACAUGGAAUCUCGUGUCAGCCAGCUCACGACGGACCUGCAUAAGACCCAAGAGGAGCUGGCCCUGGAAAAGGAACAGAACAGGCGACUCCGGGAGCGGGACAGAAGCCAUAGCGUGGCCAUCGAUGGCCUGCGGCAGGAGCUGGAUGGGCGAAGCCUUGGAGUUCUGGAGCUGGAGAACAUGGUGGGCUCUCUGAAAGAUGAGUGUCUGACACUGAUGGAGAAGCAGAUUUCUGCAGAGAAACAGCAGAGCAAAAUGCAGGACAAUGCAACACGCCUCCGCAGCGAGCUAAAGGCAGCACGGGAUCAAUUGCAGCUGGCUGACCUGGAGCACACGAGAGAACGCGCCACCAAGGAUGAGAAGGAGCGUGACGGGAAGAGACUGUUGAGCCUGCAGCAGGAACAGCAACAUGAAGUGAAAAUGCUGCAAGGUCAGCUAGAAGAGCAAGGUCAUCAAGUCAAGAUGUUACAGGGUCAGCUGGAGGAGAAGGAGCGCGAAAUAAAGAGGCUUCAGUUCCUGCUGGAGGAGCAGGGCUGUGAGAGGAAGAGGACUAAAGGUCUGAUGGAGGACCAGGACUGUGAGAAGAAGAGGUUGAAUGAUCUGCUGGAGGCACAGCAGGGCGAGGGGAAGAGGCUGCAGGACAUACUGGAGAAUCAGGAGCACAAGAUGAAGAGGUUGAAGGGUCUGCUGGAUGAGCAGAGACAAAAAGGGAAGAGGGUCCAGGGCCUCCUGGAGGAAAAGGAAUGUGAGGGGAAUAAGCUGCAAAGACUUCUGGAGGAACAGAAGCAAGAGGAGAAGAGGUUGCAUGACCUGCUGGAGGAGCAGAAGCAAGAGCAGGUGAGGUUGAAGGGCCUGUUGGAGGGCAAAGAGCAGGAGUUGCAGCAGAAGGAGCAGAACCAGCAGCAGGAUGAAGCCCGGCUGCAGGAGGCGCAAGGACAUGCCCAGGCGUUAAUGGCAGAGGGAGACACACUGCGUCUCAAGCUGGAGGAAAAGGAGAAGAUGGUGGAAUUGCUGCAGUUGCAGAUGGAGGGCAUGACACAGCUAUCUCUGCAGCACAGCAAUAGCAUUGAAGUGCUUCAGGAAGAGAAAGAAUGGCUCAUCAGCGAGAUUGACAAACAUCAGCUUGAGAUCCAUCAACUUAAGCAGGCGGGCUGGGAGCAGCAGGGCCACAUGCUGGGGGCUCUGGAGCACGAACAGGUCCAACAGAAAGGUGCUCUCUCAGAAAAGAACCGCUCCCUGCAUGAGCUGACAUUGCAAAAACAGCGGCUGACCACUGAGCUGGAGGUACAGCGGGUACAGCUGCUCAGCCUCACAGAUGAGCAUGAGGCUCUGAAGAAGACCCAUGUCCGUAGGAUUCAGGAGUUAGAAGGGAUUGCUGCCAAGUUGAUGGGCCAGCUUCAGACUGUCCAAGCUGACCUCUUUCAGGCCCAGAGCACCCUGAGGACCCUGGAGGGGGCGGAUGAACAUGGAAUGAAGGUCGCUUUGGGGAUGCAGAGACGAAUCACUGCCAAGCGAGAGCAGAUUGAUACCCUCCAGGGUCGGAUCCAGAUGAUGGAGGAGAAUACAGAUAAACUGACAAAGGAUAAGCGUCAGCAGGCUGCCGAAUGCAAGCGGCUGAGUCAGCAGCUGACCAGUGUGACUGCGGAGAAGAAGCAGUUGGAGAAUGAGGUGGAGGCCCUCCGCUACCUGGAGAAACAACUCAGGGACAAAAUGGGCAAACUGGAGGGGGCUCUUGAUAAGAUGAGUGAGAGAUUUUCUGAAUGCCAAGACUUUAUUCAGCAGCAGGAACAGCAGUUUAUGUGUCUUAAGCUCCAGCAUGCCCUGGAUUUAAAGGAACAACAAGGACAGAAUUUGAGAGUCAAUGGAAAUCUGCAGCUGUCUCCAAAGUGCAACUCACCCGUCCCCACCCAACUGCUCCAUUUCCAGAAGAUAACGGGGCAACUGUGCAAGAACCAGCCGGAUAACCCUACACUUGAGCUGAAGACCUUGGUCAAGGAGUUGCGCAGUGUGAUCGAUGAGGAUGACCGAUCCAGCCCCAUGAACAGAAAUGAGCUGGUAAAGGACAACAUUGUCAGUACUUCUGCAAACAGAAAAACAACCAGCAGCAGGGAUCCUCUCACCCUACACACUGCUGAUCUUGAGGAGGGGAACAGCAAUGGCACCUUCUCCAGUGACGGCUAUGAGCUGUCCUUCCCUGGCCCGCCUCACUACACCUCUUCACCCCGAGGUCCAGCAGUAGGCUGCAGGUCCCCUGUACACUCCUUGCUCACAUCCACCCCCCACCCCUCCUCCCCAACAAAACCACAGCUGGAGAAUGGGGGCCCAUACCCAGACCUCAAUACCAGAAAGGCGUGCAAGAAGCUACAGGGCAAACUGGACAGCAUGCAGAGCCUAGUGGACGACUUGCAAAACAAGGCACAAGGUGUAGCCCAGUAAUUUGUCAACUCUUCUUAAGUUUUCCUGGUGCUCAUGUUGUAUUGUCAUCUUCAGUUCAGGUUAACUAAGAAAUGUCUUCUAUGAUAAAGACUGAAGAGACAAGGAUGCGAAGCGUAAAAGACAGAAGCAAGCUUUCAAAUGGAUUAGACUCUGACUAAAUUGAUGAUUUUAAAUUUAAUAACACCUGAUUAAAUGCAGCUACGAUGCUUCUAGUUGUAAUUGUUAAUAAUUCAUAUUAUUUGUAAUACGGCAUAAUCUGGAGAUUAAUGAAUUCAACAAGGUCAUAUCAGGAUUUAUACUGUAUUUAUUUAUUUUUGUACCAGCAGCUAUGUAUUUUUUAUGCUUUUAUGAUAAAAAUGAACAGAUUAUUCAAUAAGCAAGAAAUAGCUGCAAAAGACCUGUGAUAAGAACAAUUGUUUUUAAAUAAAGCCCAGUAUGAAACUGUUGAUUGCAAAACA